rnacentral:lncRNA from 1 species
CUUUAUUAUGCAAUCCUUUAAAAUCAAUUCUCCAACCCAUUCUCCUACUUCAACACAGACCCAGUGAUUACUAUUCAAGCAGAGUGUCAAAAACAGUUUUUUUAACCAUAAACCCCAUAACGCCAUGAAUAUCUGUGCAUCUAAAAUAAACCAGAAACCUAAAUGAGUUGGAAACACUCAUGCCUUCCCUGCCAAAGUGGGUAUCUGUGAAUCCUCGAAAUCAAUGCAUAAAGCUUUUCCUUUGGCAAUUCAGUGCUUGUGGAAGGGUGAUCUUAAGCCACAGCUGAUGCUCUUCUUUAAAAAAAUGCUGCAAUUAAGACUACGUU